UACGAACUGUGCAAACGUUAUUCGGAAUCACUGGGCUUACAGGGUGCGUAGGCGGCCUGACAAGUAGGGUGUGAAAGCCCCCGGCUCAACUGGGGAAGUGCCUCUGAUACUGGUCGCCUCGAGGGAGGUAGGGGCGUGCGGAACUUCCGGUGGAGCGGUGAAAUGCGUAGAUAUCGGAAGGAACAUCGGUGGCGAAAGCGGCGCGCUGGACCUCUUCUGACGCUGAGGCGCGAAAGCCAGGGGAGCGAACGGG
rnacentral:rRNA from 1 species